CCUACGGGAGGCAGCAGGGAGGAAUAUUGGUCAAUGGGCGCGAGCCUGAACCAGCCAAGUAGCGUGAAGGAUGACUGCCCUACGGGUUGUAAACUUCGGUUAUAAAGGAAUAAAGUGAGGCACGUGUGCCUUUUUGUAUGUACGUUAUGAAUAAGGAUCGGCUAACUCCGUGCCAGCAGCCGCGGUAAUACGGAGGAUCCGAGCGUUAUCCGGAUUUAUUGGGUUUAAAGGGAGCGUAGCUGGGUUGUUAAGUCAGUGGUGAAAGUUUUCGGCUCAACCGUAAAAUUGCAAUUGAUACUGGCAGUCUUUAUUACAGUUGAGGUAGGCGGACUUCGUGUUGUCGCGGU
rnacentral:rRNA from 1 species